rnacentral:ncRNA from 1 species
GGUUAAGCGACUAAGCGUACACGGUGGAUGCCCUGGCAGUCAGAGGCGAUGAAGGACGUGCUAAUCUGCGAUAAGCGCCGGUAAGGUGAUAUGAACCGUUAUAACCGGCGAUUUCCGAAUGGGGAAACCCAGUGUGAUUCGUCACACUAUCAUUAACUGAAUCCAUAGGUUAAUGAGGCGAACCGGGGGAACUGAAACAUCUAAGUACCCCGAGGAAAAGAAAU